rnacentral:rRNA from 1 species
CAUCACUACGCUAGAUGCAUAUCAAUAAGCGGAGGAAAAGAAACUAACUAGGAUUCCCUCAGUAACGGCGAGUGAAGCGGGAAGAGCUCAAAUUUGAAAUCUUCAAGGUUUUACCUUGACGAAUUGUAGUUUAAAGAAGUGUUUUCUGUUGGUGUUUUGGUAAAAGUUCUUUGGAAUAGGGCAUCAUAGAGGGUGAGAAUCCCGUAUUUGACCAUUACUUCCAGCGUUGUGAUACACUUUCAAAGAGUCGGAUUGUUUGGGAAUGCAGUCCAAAAUGGGUGGUAAAUUUCAUCUAAAGCUAAAUAUUGGCGAGAGACCGAUAGCGAACAAGUACCGUGAGGGAAAGAUGAAAAGAACUUUGAAAAGAGAGUUAAACAGUACGUGAAAUUGUCAAAAGGGAAGCGUUUGGCACCAGUGUUGUUUUCUCGAAAAUCAAUUAAAAAUGAUGGGAUUUUGUGUUGUAUUGACUUUAUCAGCUUUCUGCACUUUUUUCUUAUCUUUUUUAAUGCACUUUUCGUUUAACAAGUCAACAUCAAUUUCUUUUGUUGUAAAAGAGUCAUUGGAAGGUGGCUUUUUGCUUCGGAAAAAGUGUUUAUAGCCUUUGGCUUCUGCAAUCGGAGAGAUUGAGGUCUGCAGCGUAGAUCCUUCGGGGUUAGAUACAUUUGUGCUAAGCUAUAGUUCUUUAUAGACAACUUGUUGACUAUAAUCAAUCCUGUAACUUACUCGCUUAUGCUAUUUUACCUACGCUUAGGAUGUUGAUAUGCAUGACUGAUAU